AGAGUUUGAUCCUGGCUCAGGAUGAACGCUAGCUACAGGCUUAACACAUGCAAGUCGAGGGGCAGCAUUUUAGUUUGCUUGCAAACUAAAGAUGGCGACCGGCGCACGGGUGAGUAACACGUAUCCAACCUGCCGAUAACUCGGGGAUAGCCUUUCGAAAGAAAGAUUAAUAUCCGAUAGUAUAUUAAAACCGCAUGGUUUUACUAUUAAAGAAUUUCGGUUAUCGAUGGGGAUGCGUUCCAUUAGUUUGUUGGCGGGGUAACGGCCCACCAAGACUACGAUGGAUAGGGGUUCUGAGAGGAAGGUCCCCCACAUUGGAACUGAGACACGGUCCAAACUCCUACGGGAGGCAGCAGUGAGGAAUAUUGGUCAAUGGACGAGAGUCUGAACCAGCCAAGUAGCGUGAAGGAUGACUGCCCUAUGGGUUGUAAACUUCUUUUAUAUGGGAAUAAAGUAUUCCACGUGUGGGAUUUUGUAUGUACCAUAUGAAUAAGGAUCGGCUAACUCCGUGCCAGCAGCCGCGGUAAUACGGAGGAUCCGAGCGUUAUCCGGAUUUAUUGGGUUUAAAGGGAGCGUAGGUGGAUUGUUAAGUCAGUUGUGAAAGUUUGCGGCUCAACCGUAAAAUUGCAGUUGAAACUGGCAGUCUUGAGUACAGUAGAGGUGGGCGGAAUUCGUGGUGUAGCGGUGAAAUGCUUAGAUAUCACGAAGAACUCCGAUUGCGAAGGCAGCUCACUAGACUGCAACUGACACUGAUGCUCGAAAGUGUGGGUAUCAAACAGGAUUAGAUACCCUGGUAGUCCACACAGUAAACGAUGAAUACUCGCUGUUUGCGAUAUACAGUAAGCGGCCAAGCGAAAGCAUUAAGUAUUCCACCUGGGGAGUACGCCGGCAACGGUGAAACUCAAAGGAAUUGACGGGGGCCCGCACAAGCGGAGGAACAUGUGGUUUAAUUCGAUGAUACGCGAGGAACCUUACCCGGGCUUAAAUUGCAUUUGAAUAAUCUGGAAACAGGUUAGCCGCAAGGCAAAUGUGAAGGUGCUGCAUGGUUGUCGUCAGCUCGUGCCGUGAGGUGUCGGCUUAAGUGCCAUAACGAGCGCAACCCUUAUCUUUAGUUACUAACAGGUCAUGCUGAGGACUCUAGAGAGACUGCCGUCGUAAGAUGUGAGGAAGGUGGGGAUGACGUCAAAUCAGCACGGCCCUUACGUCCGGGGCUACACACGUGUUACAAUGGGGGGUACAGAAGGCAGCUACCUGGUGACAGGAUGCUAAUCCCAAAAACCUCUCUCAGUUCGGAUCGAAGUCUGCAACCCGACUUCGUGAAGCUGGAUUCGCUAGUAAUCGCGCAUCAGCCAUGGCGCGGUGAAUACGUUCCCGGGCCUUGUACACACCGCCCGUCAAGCCAUGAAAGCCGGGGGUACCUGAAGUACGUAACCGCAAGGAGCGUCCUAGGGUAAAACUGGUAAUUGGGGCUAAGUCGUAACAAGGUAGCCGUACCGGAAGGUGCGGCUG
rnacentral:rRNA from 1 species